rnacentral:rRNA from 1 species
GGGGAAUUUUGGACGAUGGGCGCAAGCCUGAUCCAGCGACGCCGCGUGGAGGACGAAGGCCUUCGGGUUGUAAACUCCUUUUGGAGGGGAAGAAUAAAUUGACGGUACCCUCAGAAAAAGCCACGGCUAACUACGUGCCAGCAGCCGCGGUAAUACGUAGGUGGCGAGCGUUACUCGGAAUUACUAGGCGUAAAGCGUAUGUAGGUGGUUAGAUAAGUCUAUGGUGAAAUUUCCUGGCUUAACUGGGAAGGGACAUAGAUACUAUCUGGCUUGAGUGUGGGAGGGGGAGACGGAAUUCCUGGUGUAGCGGUGAAAUGCGUAGAUAUCAGGAGGAACACCGAUGGCGAAAGCAGUCUCCUGGCCCAAUACUGACACUGAGGUACGAAAGCUAGGGUAGCAAACA